GACGAACGCUGGCGGCGUGCUUAACACAUGCAAGUCGAACGGAAAGGCCCUGCUUGCAGGGUACUCGAGUGGCGAACGGGUGAGUAACACGCGGGUGAUCUGCCCUGCACUUCGGGAUAAGCCUGGGAAACUGGGUCUAAUACCGGACAGGAGCCAUUUUUAGUGUGAUGGUUGGAAAGUUUUUUCGGUGUAGGAUGAGCUCGCGGCCUAUCAGCUUGUUGGUGGGGUAAUGGCCUACCAAGGCGGCGGCGGGUAGCCGGCCUGUGAGGGUGGACGGCGACAUUGGGACUGAGAUACGGCCCAGACUCCGACGGGAGGCAGAAGUGGGGAAUAUUGCACAAUGGGCGCCAGCCUGAUGCAGAGAGGCCGCGUGGGGGAUGACGGCCUUCGGGUUGUAAACUCCUUUCGCUAGGGACGAAGCUUUUUGUGACGGUACCUAGAUAAGAAGCACCGGCUAACUACGUG
rnacentral:rRNA from 1 species